GUGUCUGACACCUUAACCACCAGGCCACCUGCUGGUCCCUACUUCAAACUUAUUUGAGCUUUCUCCACUUGAGAGUUGAGUCCUUCUCCUUUGGAUGCCUACACUGAUUUUAAUCAUCUCCUUAAGUUCCACAUUGCUUUGCCCUGAGACGUGUCAGUCUUAAAGAAUUCAUGGCCCUUUACGAUUGGACUCAAUUAGACGAAGAGCAAAAGGCCGGAUGAUGGGGACUUACUCCUGGACAGCAGUAAACUGCAGUGAGUUUGCGGGGCUGUUUCCUGUCCCUCGUUGUUAAACACCACGUGACACGAUGACAUUUGUCAGCUCCAGUCAAACCAGCUUUGGACCAGGCAGCAGAGCCUGGUAUGAACCUCACCUGUCGGCGUCCCUACAGUGGCACCUGCUGCCCCCCGGACGUCCGGUCACUACGAGGCGACCUGCUGCUCCCUGGACGUCUGCACCUACAAAGAACUACGAAUCAACCAGAAAAGGAUGGACACCAGAGUCGAUAUGCAGCUGCCCGGGAGGCCACGGAAGUAUCUGAGCAAGGCGCUCGCCGUGACUGAACCCCGCUCCUGCCCUGCAGGGGCUCACCUUGCAGCGGGCAGACGUGCCCCGUCCACUCACACGGCUCUCUGGCCCGGGCACAGCUUGUCUGGAUCCCUCGGACCCUUGCAGCUACUGCCCAUCGCUUCCCUUCCUGGCCAACUUCCAACGGUGGUCUAGAGGGGUCCCCUCCGGCCUGCCCCACCUGGGCGGCAGGGCCUAGCUGGCCGAGGUCAUCGCAGGCCUCUGGUGCGCGCAGCCCAGUCAUCAGCUCUGCCCUCAGCUCACUUAUUUUCAGGGGCGUGCGACAGGUUGCCCGUUCGCUCCCUUCGAAACACCGCUCUCCUGGCUCCUGUGACACGCCAGUGCUUCGGCCUCUGAGUGUUCCAGGCACCAAGGCUGGUCUCCAAGUCUUCCAUCCUCCGUAUUCUCUACCCAGGAAAUGUCGCCGAAUCCGCAAAUUCCAGUGUUAUGUAUGUGUCUGCGGUUCCUAAAUGUGUAGGUCUAGUCCUGGGUCCCUCUGAGACCCAGGCUCCUAACUCCCAUGGCUUAGUCAGUGUCCCCGUGUGGCUGUCAUAGCAGUGUCCCCACCUAGGUCCCCAGGGAAGUCUGAGUCACCCUCCCGACAGGUGCCACCCCCAUCCCACACAUGACAUGCUCCAGCUCAGUAAAGGGCACGAAUGGCUGACCAGUGGCUUGGGUCCAGUGCUGGGGAUCGACGCUGCUUUGUUCCCACCGGCAACCCCCCCGCAAGUCCUGCGGCCCUACUCCAGAUGCGUCCACGCCCCUGUCCUGUCUCACCACGCUGACCGUCGCCUGCUCAACUUCUGUCCACAGCCAGAGGAUCUUUUACAAAUGUACAUCUAAUAAUAGCACCAGCCUAAGCCCUCCGAGCGCCUCUUCCUUGAACUAGGGCAAAAUCCAAGUGGCGCAGAGGCGUCGUGUCACCUCCGACCUUUCACCCUCUGCCUUCCCUCUGGAACAGACUCCUGUCUGCUGGGCGUGCUUCUCCCCAAGACUGCCACUCGCUGACCCCUGGGCUUGGGUGUCACCUCCGCAGACAUCUCUGUCCUGCACACCCAGCCUGCAGCCGCCCCUUCCCCUCGCACUUCUGCAGCGCGGUCCCGCUGUGCUUGCUUCCGUGGGCUUCCUGC